GAUGAACGCUGGCGGCGUGCCUAAUACAUGCAAGUCGAGCGAACGGACGAGAAGCUUGCUUCUCUGAGGUUAGCGGCGGACGGGUGAGUAACACGUGGAUAACCUACCUAUAAGACUGGGAUAACUUCGGGAAACCGGAGCUAAUACCGGAUAAUAUUUUGAAUCGCAUGGUUCAAAAGUGAAAGACGGCCUUGCUGUCACUUAUAGAUGGAUCCGCGCUGCAUUAGCUAGUUGGUAAGGUAACGGCUUACCAAGGCAACGAUGCAUAGCCGACCUGAGAGGGUGAUCGGUCAGACUGGAGCUGAGACACGGUCCUGACUCCUACGGGAGGCACCAGCACGGAUUCUUCCGCACUGGGCGCAAACCUGAAGGCGCAACGAGGCGUGAGAGGUGAUGGUCUUCUGAUCGUAACACUGUGUUAUUAGGGAAGAACAUAUGUGUAAGUAACUCUGCCCAUAUUGACGGUACCUCAUCAGAGAGCAACGGCUAACUACUUC
rnacentral:rRNA from 1 species